rnacentral:lncRNA from 1 species
UUUUUACAGUGAAAAUAUUUUUGAACUAAGUCCUGUCAAAUUUUACUUAUGAAGUUAAACAGAUUUUUUCAAGUUAAAAUUGUUAGUAUUACUAUUUUAUUUUAUUGCUUACUUAAGUAUAGUUUGGAUAUAGGGAGAAUUAGUUAUGAUUUUGUAAUAAUAAUAAGUUAUAUUUCCAAUAGACACCGAACAUGGUUGUGUUAUGAAACCGUUUAGCCGGGAAAUCUGGGUCGUGACUGUAUGCAUCCUCGUCUACACAAUGUUCAUCAUAUGGAGCAUAAGGUCAAUCCAGAUUUUGGUGCUGCAUUGAAAAUUUAGAUCAGCACCAUACUCUGGUUUGCCUUUUCUUCUCUGUUUUAUGGUCAUAGUAAGUAUAAAUAUGUGCAAAUAAUGAUUCAGUGGCACAACUAUAAAGGAAAUGAUAUUAUGAAUGGAGAAGGAAUGAACAGAAAUAUAUUUUUGAACCGGACGAACGAGGUUAGACAUUAAAUAAAUAAAUAAACAUGGUUAUACGUGUAAAAUAAACACUAAUAAACACUUGUAACUUCCAUUAAACUAGUCAAAAAUACUUCGUAGAACAGUUCCUUAAUAUCAGGAAACCUAAAGACCAUUAGACAUAGAAAGGUACCCGGACGAACGCGUGUGAGAGAGAAGAAGGACUCGAAAAACCAGAUAGCUACAGGCACGACAACAAUUAUGUAUCGACGUAGAUCAAUAUUACGCAGACCCUGACAUCCAUACAGGUACAAAACGAAAUCCUACUUACUAAGCAAACUGAACAAUCAGAAUGCUUGUGGGGGUGUGGAAUUUAAUAUGGAGGUGGUGGUGCUCGGAUUAUAGGCGGUUUAUAGCGUGGGGCUAAAUUCAGUCUGGGAGAAGGUGGAGGCUGUGGCAGAGUGCCUCUGAUUUUGGUCACCAGCUUGUGAGGUGAGUCUAAAAGUGCCCUGUGAAACCCUUGAGAAUUAGAAGCAUAGCUUGGGAAACAAAAAUGGGAAAGUAGCAAUACAUGCAGAAGCAUGAACAACCACUUGGAAUUGAAACUCAUAAUUGCUGUGUUUAGCAGUGAUUUUUGCAUUCUCAUUUAUAGAUAGUUUUCUGAAAUUUCUUAGGAAGUUUCCCAGCAUGACUUGUAACUUUGAUGACCAAGACUCACUGUUGGAAACCAGUUUCCUACUCUUCUUUAAUGCCUUCCAGCUAUUUGUUUACAAGAAAUUCAUAAUUUUUUAUUAAGAUCUUUUUUUUUCUUUAUUCAUUACUGUUAGAUAUUAUAAAUAUUGCACUUUGUAGUAAUAAAUAAUUUUAAAAAUCAUUAAUAAUGAGCAUAACCUCUUUGAUCACCUCUUUACUGUCAGAAUGCUAAAGCGAAAGCAUAGGGGUUUCUUACAAAAAAAACUGAAACAAAUACAAGAUUCAUUGGAUUUAAUUUGUGUUAGAGUUUGGAAAAUCUAUGGAUUAUAAAAAAUAAAAAAAUCCUGCAACUUUUGCUUAAAAGUAAAUUUUAAAUUGAAAAAUUUAUGGAGUUAACAGGAAGAAACUAUGGAGGUGGAGGAAGAAAUACGCAGUGGCUGAGUCUAAGAAUGGAAUAGGUAGGUCAUUGCACAGACUCUUUCUUCCUACACCUCCAUACCUUCAUCAGCCACCCUCAUACUAAAUGUAAAAAUACUGUUUUCUCCUUUUUUUUUGUCACCUCCAUACAUAAUCCAGAAGCUGUUUUUGAAUCCGGAAGUGUUCUUGAGAUUUAUAAAAUCCGAAACUCUUUUUUGCAUUUGAAAUAAGCCUAUGGAAUAUGUAAUCUGGAUAUAUUCCGGAUUACAUAAUCCGAAAGUCAAUCUCAUAUUUAGAAAAGACUUCCGGAUUAUGUAAUCCAGAAACUAAUCACUCCUAUGAAAAAAAAGGCUUCCAAAUUACAUAAUUCAGAAGCUAAUUUUAUGUAUAGAAAAGACUUCCGGAUUAUGUAAUCGGACGCUAAUCACAAAAGGCUUCCGGAAUACAUAAUCCAGAAGCUAAUUCUGGAUUUAGAAAAAGACUUCCAGAUUAUGUAAUCCAGAAUAUUAAUAAAGGGUAUUUUUAGAAUAUAAAAGAUAUAUGGGGUGACACAAGAAGGUAUGGAAGUGCAGGAAGAAGCAGCCCAUUGCACAGGCUUCAAAGUGUGGAAUGGGCUAAACCUGUAUCUGUGUUAGUUUGAAAUAUUACAACUAAAUUUCCAUACUUAAAAAUAAUAAAAUUAUUUUAAUAUGAAGUAUAAAAGUAAAGUUGAGUUAUUAUAAAACAUAAGAAGUUCCAAAAUAUUUAAAAUUAUAAUUAGAAAUACCAUAGUUGUAAUUAAAAUAUUAUUUUUGUUUUAAUAUAUUAUAUUCAAAAUAUCAUAAUAUUAACAAUUCAUAACUUCCUUGUGAAUCUUAUAACUCAUAACACUAUCAAAAUUACUAAAAAUAAUUUAAAACUUUUAUACCAAAUAUAUAAAUCUAACAUUUCCAACUUAGUAAAUUUGCUAAUUUUCCUUUCGUGAUCAUUGUGUUGUAACUAUUCAUAUUUAAGAUAUAUAGAAAUAUAUAUAAUAAUAUAAAACCAAAUUAAAUAAGUACAAUCCAAUCAAAUUAUAUAAAAUUCAAUUGUAAUAUUAUUUUUUAUAAUUAUAAUUAUGUUUUUAACACUAUAGUUUAUAGUUAAAGAUACAACUCUUUCUAGUUAAAGAAGUGUUAUAUUUCAUUUGUAAAUUAGUUUAUUUUAUCUCCAUCAUAAAAAAAAAUAUAAAGUCAAUUAAUAUAAAAUACUAAUAAAUAUUUAUAUUUUAUCUAAGAUUAAUUAAUAUAAAAUAUUAAAAACAAUGCGUUAAUUACAAACAACUAAAAUACAAAAAUUAAUCAAUUAUAUAUUUUUAAACAUAAAUAAAAUUAUAAUCUUAUUUUUUUAAUUAAUUAAAAGAAGUUAAAAUUUUAAUCAUACAUAAUUUUAUUUAUCGUAAUGAAAAAAAAUAAUUAUUUUCCUCACUUCUCUUUCAAAUUAACUCCUAAUACAAAACAAAGCAAAAGAUAAUAUAAAGAAAGCAAAAGAAGAAGUUUGGUGAUCAAAUGUUGUGCAGAAAAAUUUGACUUCCUAACCAGUAGCAUGCCUAGAUGUUUUCUGCCACCCAUUCUUGACUUGUGUUGCCACAAAAGUGUCUUUAGACCGUGUAUUUCAUUACAUAAAUAUAGCACGACUCUCUCAUGAUACAUAUGAAUUUUCAUACUCAAACUUCCAAAACAGUCUCAAAUAUUUUGCUUCUACCUUCUCUAAGAAUCUCGCUUAAAGAAUUGUUACGAAGUGGACUUUAAGCCUAACUCAACCUCAUAAAACCGACUCGUAGGAUUGAGGUUUGCACCCACUUAUAUUCAAUGAAAGACUCUAAUCUCUAGUCGAUGUGGGAUCUCCAGGUGUAAGUAACUGGUGGUUUAUUGAAUCGAAAAUGACUGUGAAACAAAUCUGGAACGUUGAAUCACGAAAUCAUACUUACUAAGCAAGCUGUGGAAUUUAAUAUGGAGGUGGUGGUGCUCGGAUUUUAGGACGAACAGGACGAGGCGGUGGGCUUUUAAAAUAGUGGCGGGCUGAAUUCUGUCUGGGAGAAGGUGGAGGCCGUGGCAGAGUGCCUCUGAUUUUGGUCACCAGCUUGUGAGGUGAAUCUAAAAGUGCCCUGUGAAACCCUUGAGAAUUAGAAGCAUAGCUUGGGAAACAAAAAUGGGAAAGUAGCAAUACAUGCAGAAGCAUGAACAACC